UUUUCAGAGAAAAAUAAUUUAUCAUUCAUUGAAACAUCUGCUUUGGAUUCUACAAAUGUGGAAGCAGCCUUCCAACAAAUACUAACAGAAAUUUACCGUAUAGUUUCACAAAAGCAGAUCA